rnacentral:lncRNA from 1 species
CUACUGGGCAACCACAGUGGAGCACAUUCUAAAUCAAGGGACUUAACUGACAUUUUGACAAGUAAAACAGAAGCAGAAACUAAGGCAAAUGGGAACCCUCUGAGGCUUCCCUCUGAAAACUGCCUCAUUAGCUCUGUUUCCUGCCCUGUAAUGUUCAGCCAUUUGUUUUAAAGCAUCCCAAAGAACUCAGGAAGGCAGCAAAGCCAGACUUCACUAACUUCUGCCUCUGGACUCUUGGAAUCGGACAGGACAAAAGCACUGUUAGUGGGUUCCUUAAAAGUACAAAUGGCCCUGGUAGAGCUGGCUGGGCAUUUGGAGAAUGAGUUAUUACUCAUAAACGCUUUCGGAGCCUCAGACACCAGCGCGGUACAUCAAGCGUAUCCAUCAAUUUGAGGGCUUUCUGGACCUCAGUUUACCCACGUACGGAAACGGGCUUGGCAAGGGCCGGGAGGUGAAAUUAAUUAGUGUUUUUAAAAUGCUCUGAGAUUCCCAAGAUGAAAGGAAACGUAGAGGCACGCAGAGAUGAUGACAAUAAUCAUAACAAUAAAAAGAAUGACUAACUUGGAAUUCUGUGUUACGUAAGGAAGCUGAGAAGUUAUCAGAUUCACACAAACAAAAGAAAAGCCCACCGCCCCUUUGUUCCCCUUCCACUUCGCCGGCCUGCAGCCGGGCCGCGGGAGCGAGAACCGGGCCGCCGAGCUGGGGCUCCCCUCCGCCGCGCACCCGCUCCAGCCGUGGGGGAGGGCGUUCCGGGCAGCUCCUCACAAAGGCGCUUCCUCCCUCCGCGCGGGAUGCGGCGCCGCAAACUCUGCUCCCCGCCGCCUCCCCGCGGGCAGGCGGGCGGGCGGGCGCGCAGGCCGCCGCGCCGCCACCGGCAAAGGCUCGGAGGAAGUUCCGCGCCGCCGGCCCUCGCGCCCCCGUUCGCCGCCCGCGCCGCACUCACCGGACGACUGCUGGUGGCCGGAACGCCAGCUCGGCCCGCCGCACGGACACCCGGGGCGCGGGGGCGGCGCGAGCACCGGUUGAACGCAGGCACCAGCGGAGCCCGCCGCCUUCCCGCCAGCCGCCGAGCCCCGCGAGGCCGAGUGGAACGCGGAGCCGAGCGCGGACUAGAGAGAGAGGCUCGGGCCCGCUUUGUGAGCUACAGCUGA